UACGUAGGAGGCGAGCGUUGUCCGGAAUCACUGGGUGUAAAGCGCGUGUAGGCGGCCUGCCAAGUCUGCUGUGAAAGCGCCUGGCUUAACCGGGCGAGGUCGGUGGAAACUGGCGGGCUGGAGGCUGGUAGAGGGGGGUGGAAUUCCCGGUGUAGUGGUGAAAUGCGUAGAGAUCGGGAGGAACACCAGUGGCGAAGGCGGCCCGCUGGGCAGUGACUGACGCUGAGGCGCGACAGCGUGGGGAGCAAACAGG
rnacentral:rRNA from 1 species